GUGCCAGCAGCCGCGGUAAUACGGAGGAUGCAAGCGUUAUCCGGAAUUAUUGGGCGUAAAGCGUCCGCAGGUGGUCUUUCAAGUCUGCUGUUAAAGACAGGAGCUCAACUCCUGAAAGGCAGUGGAAACUGGGAGACUAGAGUUCGGUAGGGGUAGAGGGAAUUCCCAGUGUAGCGGUGAAAUGCGUAGAGAUUGGGAAGAACACCAGUGGCGAAGGCGCUCUACUGGGCCGAAACUGACACUGAGGGACGAAAGCUAGGGUAGCGAAAGGGAUUAGAUACCCCUGUAGUCCUAGCCGUAAACGAUGGAUACUAGGCGUAGGAAGUGUAAAGGCUAACUGUGUCGAAGCUAACGCGUUAAGUAUCCCGCCUGGGGAGUACGCACGCAAGUGUGAAACUCAAAUGAAUUGGCGG
rnacentral:rRNA from 1 species